GGGAUGCCCUGCAGCCUGGCUGCAACAUUGUGACCAUAGUUUAUACACUGUACAGUAGCACAACCCUGGUGGCUCUCUCCACAGGGCAAGGGGUGGACCUCUUCAUGCUUGACUUGGCUCUUGGUGAAUUUGUACUGGUGGAAAAAGAUGUCAAGAUUAGUAAGAAAGGAAAGAUUUACAACCUGAAUGAGGGCAAUGCUAAGUAUUUUGACAGGGCCGUCACCGAAUAUGUGCA
rnacentral:lncRNA from 1 species